rnacentral:rRNA from 1 species
GCCAGCAGCCAUAUCACUCUGCAACUCACAACUGGCUAAGCAGGUGUGAGCCUGGUCAGUACCUGGUUGGGAGACACCUGGGAAAAACUAAGGUUGCUGCUGGAA